rnacentral:rRNA from 1 species
GACGAACGCUGGCGGCGUGCUUAACACAUGCAAGUCGAACGAAGAGCGAUGGAAGCUUGCUUCUAUCAAUCUUAGUGGCGAACGGGUGAGUAACGCGUAAUCAACCUGCCCUUCAGAGGGGGACAACAGUUGGAAACGACUGCUAAUACCGCAUACGAUCUAAUCUCGGCAUCGAGGAUAGAUGAAAGGUGGCCUCUACAGGUAAGCUAGCACUGAAGGAGGGGAUUGCGGCUGAUUAGCUAGUUGGAGGGGUAACGGCCCACCAAGGCGAUGAUCAGUAGCCGGUCUGAGAGGAUGAACGGCCACAUUGGGACUGAGACACGGCCCAGACUCCUACGGGAGGCAGCAGUGGGGAAUCUUCCGCAAUGGACGAAAGUCUGACGGAGCAACGCCGCGGGAGUGAUGACGGCCUUCGGGUUGUAAAGCUCUGUUAAUCGGGACGAAAGGCCUUCUUGCGAAUAGUGAGAAGGAUUGACGGUACCGGAAUAGAAAGCCACGGCUAACUACGUG